rnacentral:misc_RNA from 1 species
GAUGAAGAACGCAGCGAAACGCGAUAUGUAAUGUGAAUUGCAGAAUUCAGUGAAUCAUCGAGUCUUUGAACGCACAUUGCGCCCUCUGGUAUUCCGGAGGGCAUGCCUGUCCGAGCGUCAUUGCUGCCCUCAAGCACGGCUUGUGUGUUGGGCCCCGCCCCCCGAUCCCGGGGGGCGGGCCCGAAAGGCAGCGGCGGCACCGCGUCCGGUCCUCGAGCGUAUGGGGCUUUGUCACCCGCUCUGUAGGCCCGGCCGGCGCUUGCCGAUCAACCAAACUUUUUUCCAGGUUGGCCUCGGAUCAGGUAGGGAUACCCGCUGAACUUAAGCAUAUCAAUAAGCGGAGGA